GCUCUCGGGUGCGCACCGCGGCGCGCUCGCACCGCUGGGCUCCUGAGCUCCUGGCUGCGGUGGCGGUCAGAACGCAGGGCUGAGCAAGCAUCUGGGAAAGGCAGCCGCAGCUCCCGUGCGCGGCCCCGCUUCCUGCCGCUACCCCAGCCCGGCUACCUCUUAGCCAUGGCUCUGGCGAACAGCACCCGUGGAUUACCCAACGGGGGUGGCGGGGGCGGUAGCGGCUCCUCAUCCUCCUCGGCGGAGCCGCCGCUCUUCCCCGAUAUCGUGGAGCUGAAUGUAGGGGGCCAGGUGUAUGUGACUCGGCGCUGCACGGUGGUGUCCGUGCCGGACUCGCUGCUCUGGCGCAUGUUCACGCAGCAGCAACCGCAGGAGCUGGCCCGGGACAGCAAAGGCCGCUUCUUUCUGGACAGAGACGGCUUCCUCUUCCGCUACAUCCUGGAUUACCUGCGGGACUUGCAGCUCGUGCUGCCAGACUACUUCCCCGAGCGCAGCCGGCUGCAGCGCGAGGCCGAGUACUUCGAGCUGCCCGAGCUCGUGCGUCGCCUCGGGGCGCCCCAGCAGCCCGGCCCGGGGCCACCGCUGCACCCAAGGCGCGGAGUGCAGAAGGAGGGCUCACUGGGAGACGAGCUGCUGUCGCUCGGCUACGCGGAGCCGGAGCAGCAGGAGGGUGCCUCGGCAGGAGCGCCGUCGCCCACACUGGAGCUGGCUAGCCGCAGCCCGUCCGGAGGCGCAGCGGGGCCGCUGCUCACGCCGUCCCAGUCGUUGGACGGGAGCCGGCGUUCGGGCUACAUCACCAUCGGCUAUCGCGGCUCCUACACUAUUGGGCGGGACGCGCAGGCGGACGCCAAGUUCCGGCGAGUGGCGCGCAUCACCGUGUGCGGCAAGACAUCUCUUGCCAAGGAGGUGUUCGGGGACACCCUGAACGAAAGCCGGGACCCCGACCGGCCCCCGGAGCGCUACACCUCGCGCUAUUACCUCAAGUUCAACUUCCUGGAGCAGGCUUUCGAUAAGCUGUCGGAGUCGGGCUUCCACAUGGUGGCGUGCAGUUCCACGGGCACCUGCGCCUUCGCCAGCACCGACCAGAGCGAGGACAAGAUCUGGACCAGCUACACCGAGAACUGAUCUUGCAGCUAAACGGACUGCUCAUAACACAGGACACUUCGUAAGUCACCGAACUUCCCUUGGCAGUUUAUUUUAACAUCUUUGCUGCAGAAGGGUGGACUGGCAGCACUUCCUCCAACAUGUCUGAGGCCCAGGGGAAGAGUGAAAAGGGAAGCUCACGACCCGAAUAUCGUUGUUGUCACAGUUCAAGGCCUUUCCUAUGGACACGUGGCUAGAACGUUUCUGCAUGUCCUGAACAUCUGUGACAGUGAAAGACACUUUUUCUUAGGGCCUUACGGUAGAUCCUAAAUUCCUUCAGGAGUGAUGCUUAAAUACACACGCUGUUCCAACACAAUCUCUAUUCUAGCCUAUACAUAAACAAUCUCUUGUCAAUACGGGUGUUCUGAAAAAUGACAAAAUCUUCCAGGUGUUUUUAAUUGACGUCCUUUGAAGACAAGCAAGAUAUUGCUGAGAGAACUUAAUUGCUCCAGUUUCAGGUUCCGCUAUUGAUAUCACUUCCUCAUAGGUGGUUGUCACCACCCAGGUGUAAAAAUAGAGACCGUUUCUCCUUCUUGGGCAACACCAAGGUCACUUUCCUAGCUUGUUUAUAGCUGUGCCAAGCCGAGCCCAAACACAUAAGUUAUGAUAAACGUGGAGAAUUUAGGGACUCAGAUGAUUUAUAGCUGAGACCAAGCAUUUAACUUUCUAGGCAUUGCCCAUAGUUCUACAUCUCUCUUCAGUCGGAAUUGGUCCAUCCUGCUUCUCGAACCCAUGGGCUUCAAAACAAUAGAGCCAUUGUUCUGACACCAGUGCCGUCUUUUCAGGUCCUCCUUGAACACUAAGUUCACCCCCUCCUGCAGCCAGCCUCCCUCUCAUUAUCUCCUCCGUCCCCCCUGGGAGCUGCAUGGUGGCGAAGGUGAGGGCAGGCCUUUCAUCCCAACGCCACCACUUGCUAAAAUGUGCCUUUGGGAAAAAUUCCCCAACCUCUCUGUCAGUUUCCUCGUUUAUCAAAUGGGGAUUAUAAUGCCUUCCGCACAUGGUGGUGGGAAGGAUUAAAUGACAUAAUGCAGGGAAGUACUUGGCAGAGAUCUGACAAAUGAAAGGUAACAGCAAAGGGUGUCUAUUGUCAUCAUCUUCCCUUUGUCCGAGUAAGAAGGGCCCAGACCUGCACAGAAUUUUUAUGAGUUCAUUUGAGCCAAACUGACCACAAUUGCUGGGGAGCGGAAUCUCAGCAGACUGAGAACAAUGUUCCUGAGAAUGGCACUUUUGCAGCUUAUUUUAUACAUUAAGAGGAAAGGAGACUUAAGGAGAGUUAAGUGAGAGCCACGGGUGGUAAAUCAGGAGGCAGGAGAAAUCAAAGUGAGGGAAAUCUCUGGGACUGGAUUAAAAAGCAAAAUGGAGAGACACAUACUUCUUUUACAUUGGCGGCUGCAGGAUGGUUAGCAAUGAACAUUUACAGUACAAAGGGAUGGUAUUUGGGGCACAAGAUGGCAAUGAGGGGUUCUGUGAUCUCAUGUUCUGGGGGGAGAUUGUGUCUUGAGGGAAAAGGAGGUCACUGACAUCGCAAAGGUGUGUUAUCUUAGAUGCAAAGAGAUGAUAGAGAGGCUCACUUAAGGCACAGACUGACUUUGUCAAGAAACCUACAGGC